UCCCUUGUAGCUUAGUCGGUAAAGAAUCUGCCUUCAGUGCAGGAGAUCCAGGUUCAAUCUCUGGGUCGGGAA
rnacentral:tRNA from 1 species